rnacentral:rRNA from 1 species
GCCGAGCGGUAGAGAUUCUUCGGAAUCUUGAGAGCGGCGUACGGGUGCGGAACACGUGUGCAACCUGCCUUUAUCUGGGGGAUAGCCUUUCGAAAGGAAGAUUAAUACCCCAUAAUAUAUUGACUGGCAUCAGUUGAUAUUGAAAACUCCGGUGGAUAGAGAUGGGCACGCGCAAGAUUAGAUAGUUGGUGAGGUAACGGCUCACCAAGUCUACGAUCUUUAGGGGGCCUGAGAGGGUGAUCCCCCACACUGGUACUGAGACACGGACCAGACUCCUACGGGAGGCAGCAGUGAGGAAUAUUGGACAAUGGGUGAGAGCCUGAUCCAGCCAUCCCGCGUGAAGGACGACGGCCCUAUGGGUUGUAAACUUCUUUUGUAUAGGGAUAAACCUACUCUCGUGAGAGUAGCUGAAGGUACUAUACGAAUAAGCACCGGCUAACUCCGUGCCAGCAGCCGCGGUAAUACGGAGGGUGCAAGCGUUAUCCGGAUUUAUUGGGUUUAAAGGGUCCGUAGGCGGAUCUGUAAGUCAGUGGUGAAAUCUCACAGCUUAACUGUGAAACUGCCAUUGAUACUGCAGGUCUUGAGUGUUGUUGAAGUAGCUGGAAUAAGUAGUGUAGCGGUGAAAUGCAUAGAUAUUACUUAGAACACCAAUUGC